UACAGAGGUGGCAAGCGUUGUUCGGAAUUACUGGGCGUAAGGGCGCGUAGGCGGUUCGGUAAGUCCUGUGUGAAAUCCCUCGGCUCAACUGAGGAACUGCACGGGAGACUGCCGGGCUUGAGUUCGGGAGAGGGAAGCGGAAUUCCGGGUGUAGCGGUGAAAUGCGUAGAUAUCCGGAGGAACACCGGUGGCGAAGGCGGCUUCCUGGACCGACACUGACGCUGAGGCGCGAAAGCUAGGGGAGCAAACGGG
rnacentral:rRNA from 1 species